CCGACGGUGAGGGGUGAAAGCUGGGGGAGCAAACCGGAUUAGAUACCCGGGUAGUCCCAGCCGUAAACGAUGUGCGUUAGGUGUAUCGGUGACCACGAGUCACCGAGGUGCCGAAGAGAAAUCGUGAAACGUACCGCCUGGGAAGUACGGUCGCAAGGCUGAAACUUAAAGGAAUUGGCGGGGGAGCACCACAACAGGUGGAGCCUGCGGUUUAAUCGGACUCAACGCCGGGAAACUCACCAGAUAAGACAGCUGAAUGAUAGUCGGGCUGAAGACUCUACUUGACUAGCUGAGAGGAGGUGCAUGGCCGUCGUUAGUUCGUACUGUGAAGCAUCCUGUUAAGUCAGGCAACGAGCGAGACCCACGCCAACAGUUGCU
rnacentral:rRNA from 1 species